AUCUUUGGCGAAAAUGGUAAACGCGUCAGAUUACGAAUCUGGAAGUUGCAGGUUCGAUUCCUGCAUGAUCUA
rnacentral:tRNA from 1 species